CAUAUGCUUGUCUGAAAGACUAAGCCAUGCAUGUGCAAGCGAAGCUUGAAAAAGUGGAACCGCGAAUGGCUCAUUAAAUCAGUUACUAUCUAUUAGUUGAUCUGCCUGCUAAAUGAAUAACUGCGGUAACCCUGCAGCUAAUGCAUGCUGAUUGUCCGGCACUGUCGGAGACUUUUACAAGACUACACCGGGUGAUUUGCUAAGUACUGACACAUACCGUGAUGAGUCCUAGUAACUGAAAGAUCCCAGAUAGCUUCGGCUUGGGGACGGAACUUCCGAAUUUCUGACCUAUCAACCUAUGAUGGUAGUGUAACGGACUACCAUGGUUGUGACGGGUAACGGGGAAUCAGGGUUCGAUUCCGGAGAGGGAGCCUUAGAAACGGCUACCACAUCCAAGGAAGGCAGCAGGCACGCAAAUUACCCACUCUCCGCACGAGGAGGUAGUGACUAGAAAUAAUGAUAUGAACCUUUAUGGUUUGUAAUCAGAAUGGAAUGGACUUAAAAGCUCCAUUGAGAAC
rnacentral:rRNA from 1 species